rnacentral:rRNA from 1 species
AGGACUUGACAUCCAGAGAAUCCUGUGGAAACACGGGAGUGCCCCGACCGGGGAGCUCUGAGAC